rnacentral:rRNA from 1 species
CAGUAGGGAAUAUUGGGCAAUGGAUGCAAGUCUGACCCAGCCAUGCCGCGUGCAGGAAGAAGGUCCUCUGGAUUGUAAACUGCUUUUUUCGGGGAAGAAUAGGUCUCUUGCGAGGGAUUGUGACGGUACCCGAUGAAUAAGCCACGGCUAACUACGUGCCAGCAGCCGCGGUAAUACGUAGGUGGCAAGCGUUGUCCGGAUUUAUUGGGUUUAAAGGGUGCGUAGGUGGUUUGAUAAGUCAGUGGUGAAAGCUGGUUGCUCAACAAUCAAGUUGCCAUUGAUACUGUCAGACUUGAGAGAAGUGGAGGCUCAUGGAAUGGAUGGUGUAGCGGUGAAAUGCAUAGAUAUCAUCCAGAACGUCGAUUGCGAAGGCAGUGGGCUGUACUUUUUCUGACACUGAGGCACGAAAGCGUGGGGAUCAAACAGGAUUAGA